AAGAAAUUAGUUAAAAUAUAACAUUAGUAUGUCAAGCUAAAAUUGCUUAUCCAGCAUUUCUUU
rnacentral:tRNA from 1 species